rnacentral:misc_RNA from 1 species
GUGGAAGGGGGCUUGCUCCCGACAGCGGUGGCACAGUCGGUACAACCGGUGACUGUUUCACUGCAAUCGGGAGCAAGCCCCCUCCCAC